rnacentral:ncRNA from 1 species
GAAGGUCUGGCCCUUCGGAGCCGCCCUACGGGGGGAGGCUUCAAACCACCACAUGCUGCGAGAGCGGCGAAGCGAUCGUGGUGAGCGAUGUGGAGAAGGCGCCCGAGAGGCGUCAGGU